GACGAACCGUGCGAACGUUGUUCGGAUUCACUGGGCUUAAAGGGCGCGUAGGCGGGCCGUCAAGUCUGUGGUGAAAGCCCCCGGCUUAACCGGGGAAGUGCCGCGGAUACUGGAUGGCUUGAGAUUGGGAGAGGGAUGCGGAAUUCCAGGUGUAGCGGUGAAAUGCGUAGAUAUCUGGAGGAACACCGGUGGCGAAGGCGGCAUCCUGGACCAACACUGACGCUGAGUGAGCGAAAGCCAGGGGAGCAAACGGG
rnacentral:rRNA from 1 species